rnacentral:rRNA from 1 species
AACGAACGCUGGCGGCAUGCCUAACACAUGCAAGUCGAACGAGACCUUCGGGUCUAGUGGCGCACGGGUGCGUAACGCGUGGGAAUCUGCCCUUGGGUUCGGAAUAACAGUUAGAAAUGACUGCUAAUACCGGAUGAUGACGUAAGUCCAAAGAUUUAUCGCCCAAGGAUGAGCCCGCGUAGGAUUAGCUUGUUGGUGAGGUAAAAGCUCACCAAGGCGACGAUCCUUAGCUGGUCUGAGAGGAUGAUCAGCCACACUGGGACUGAGACACGGCCCAGACUCCUACGGGAGGCGGCAGUGGGGAAUAUUGGACAGUGGGCGAAAGCCUGAUCCAGCAAUGCCGCGUGAGUGAUGAAGGCCUUAGGGUUGUAAAGCUCUUUUACCCGGGAUGAUAAUGUCAGUACCGGGAGAAUAAGCCCCGGCUAACUCCGUGCCAGCCGCCGCCGUAACAC